rnacentral:rRNA from 1 species
GAUGAACGCUGGCGGCGUGCCUAAUACAUGCAAGUCGAGCGAACAGACGAGGAGCUUGCUCCUCUGACGUUAGCGGCGGACGGGUGAGUAACACGUGGAUAACCUACCUAUAAGACUGGGAUAACUUCGGGAAACCGGAGCUAAUACCGGAUAAUAUAUUGAACCGCAUGGUUCAAUAGUGAAAGACGGUUUUGCUGUCACUUAUAGAUGGAUCCGCGCCGCAUUAGCUAGUUGGUAAGGUAACGGCUUACCAAGGCGACGAUGCGUAGCCGACCUGAGAGGGUGAUCGGCCACACUGGAACUGAGACACGGUCCAGACUCCUACGGGAGGCAGCAGUAGGGAAUCUUCCGCAAUGGGCGAAAGCUUGACGGAGCAACGCCGCGUGAGUGAUGAAGGUCUUCGGAUCGUAAAACUCUGUUAUUAGUGAAGAACAAAUGUGUAAGUAACUAUGCACGUCUUGACGGUACCUAAUCAGAAAGCCACGGCUAACUACGUG